UUCCUGGCAACACAGAGGGGAAAGAAAGGGAAGGGAAGGUAAGCAAACCCUCUCAGCUUCCAUAGCUCAGAGGCAUUCUGGGACAGGAAAAUAGAGUUACAAACUUCCGUGUUGGAAAGAAGGGUUCUCUUCUCCCAACUCUGUGUUUUCCUGGGCUAAAGAAACUUCAAGCAGCUGGAAAUGCCAGCAGGGUCUUCUCUUUACUCUAUCCGGCCUCUCGGCGUGGGGCUGAGGAGAGGAACUUCGGUAACCAUGGUAACUUGACACCAGGCAGCAGUAAUAACAUGGGAAGACAAGAAGAUCCUUUUGACAUUUUGUGAAUGUUACAAGAGUGUAGUAGCAAGAACAUCUUUGUUCCAAAAUGUCUUCUCAGAUCUUCUGUCUUUCCACUUUGUAUUCCUCUUUAUAUAUGCAGUAGUCCUACUGUCCCACUGGCAUGACUGAAGGAGAACUAGCUCAAGCCUUUGCCUGGCUCUGAAUUUGUUUGGAUGUUUUCAUUCUUUCAAAGUGGACGGCUGACCUUGGAGGGACUAACCGAGAUCUGAAGCAGCAGUGCAGUAAUUCUGUCAGUUCUGUCAGCAGUUUCCUACAUUGCAAAACCUGACAAAUCUUUCUGCCAGCAUCCAGAAUUAGUCUCUGGAAGAUCCUAUCUGGCAACAGUGCAAGAGAUGAACAGCCUUUGCUUUGCAUCAAGGCAGAACUGCAAGCAGAGAGUGUGUGCUCCUACACAGACACAAGUUUUCCCAUGUGCUGCCAAUACCUUGCUGUUUAAUUCUAUAUACGCAUGAAUAUGUAUGUGUAUGCUCAGAAAAGAAUCACAGAAUGAAGAAAUCUCCAGGAGAUAGAGUGAAGAGCAUGACACAGUGAGAAUGACAGAUAUAGUCUUUGUUACAUUUUCAUUUGAAACACAGUUUAUCCUGUACAGCUUUAUAUACUUGUGUUUAUGCAUGCUUGUGUGUGGGCAUGCAUACAUAUAUUUUAUCUAUAUAUAUGGCUUUGCUUACUACAACCUGACAUGUGAUGUUGCAAAAUUUGUGGCUGAAAAUGGCAGAGGAAACGGAAUCAAGAGGAAGAAGAUAACAGAUACAAAAGCUCCAGGAAACUCUUAUGAGACAUGGGAAGGUAUAAACAGCAUUCUGUCACUACUCAGCACCUGAUUAGGCCUAGCAGACCAAUGCCUAUCUCUUUGUUAGCAGUAAUCUAUAAAUCUGUCUGAAACACUGAGGGUUCAUGCAUUUUUGCUCAGCUAUACCCCACAGUCCUGUUAAAAUCAAUUUGAAGACGGAAGUUAGCCCUAAGAAAGAGGUAGCAAGAGUCAUUUCUGUCUUGGUGGUUUGUUGUGGGAUAAAGCAUGAUUAUACAUUUAAACUUUUAUUGCUGGCAUUCAGAACCACAUGGGCAGGCAUACAAUUUCAUGAAUGUAGUUAUGAUCCUGUUUAUAAGUGGAUUUCAACCCACAUGUUCUGAGUGUCUGUGAUGAGUUAUGUUAUUACAUUGUGUUGGGACUGCACCUGAAGGGAGAAUGGGAUACGUUUAAGGUUGGUAUAUUUUAUGUUUAGCUUUUGUUGUCUCCAAAUGAAUAAAUGCUCUCACAAACCAUGCAAGAGUUCAUUUUUAAGGCUUUCAUCUUCUCAAGAAUGAGAAUUUCAGUGUGUGAAUGGAAAAGCAAAACCCAACAUUCACUCUUUUCCAAAAUAUAAACCUUAACAUCCAUUUUUUUCUUGCAGACAGAAUAUUUUUCUGCUGUCACACUUCUUUGGUUCCUUCUUGCUCUUUAUGUCUAGCAGCUGAGCCCUCAGCUUAAGGUUGCAAUAUCACAGUAAAAAUAUUUUUCAUAUACUGAAAGCUUUCUUUUGUUUUAUGGCCAACCAAAGCCAAGAGAAUAAGUCAGAGUGUCAAGUGAGCAGCUCCUAGCAGGGUCAGAGAGCACACCAGAUCUUUUAUCAGACAUUUAAUCACCUAAGUUUUAUUUCACUCAUGAAGGGCUCUGGAUGAAAACUUCAUUUCUUUUACUGAACCUUUCUGUCCUGAUGCCAACGUGGCAGUCCCUGCACUUUGGUGUGUGUGGGAUGACUACUUUACUAAUGUCCAUGCAUAAAGGGGCAGCAAGGGAGGAAACUUUAAGAUAACUUGAAGCUUGGAAAUGAGUGUUUUAGCUGCCCCACUUUGAACUUGAUGCUAUGCUAGGAGAUAUGUUUCUUCUUCAGUUUGGUAUGGUAGCAUCUCACUGGCCCUGGACCAAGUGUUGACAAAGCUGCAAAUAAGCUGAGAUACUGAGCAGGGAACAAAAGCCACUAUGGCAAAAGUAUGUGUGAUGAAAGAAGUGAGUCUCUAGCUGGUGCUCACAGGUGCACAGGAGUGAUCAGCAUUUGUCUAACUUCUCAAGACUUGACAGAUGGUGCUUGUGCAAUGAGGACUCAUCCCUGGAACACUUGUUCAGAGAAGGGGAAUAAAUAUUUUUCAGCUGAACAUCCCUUUGAAAUGCAAACCAUUAUCUUUGCAGGCUUCAGUUAUCUCCUUUAUGAGCCUUCUCAAGGAAUGUACCAAACACAGUGGAGGAGCUCUAUAUCUAAAAAGCAAACCACAAUCCUUUAAAAUAAACACCCCAGCCAAACUAAGGAAAAAAGAAACAAAGAGCAGCAAUAUGAAAAUAUGAAAAUGAAAUUAAUAAAAUAUCAAGAAACUGAAACAAUUUCCUGAAAGCUGACUUGCUGAUCCCUGAAUGCUGAGAACUGAAUAGAUGUGUGUAGUAAAAUAGCUAUAAAUGAGAUGUAUACAUUGCUGCAGUUAAACGUCUGAAAAUAUUUCAAAGUUAAGUUCCACAUACAAAAUCUUUUUCAAAGUCAGUUGCUUUAAAGGCAAGGAAGAGUUCUCCAAAGUUUGAGAGAAUAAUAUUUCCUCCAAUUUGGAAUGUAGUUGAAAAGGAAUGAACCUUAUCACCAAAGGAUAAGGAACAAGUUAAAAAGCACCUUCAAUCCUUGCCUGCUGCAGAUGACCCUGAUUGACUUUGAGACACUAACAAAAGCUUAAUCUUGUUUGCAGUGUAUUGAGAGAUGGCUGGGACAGAUUGACUGUGAAAGGGUAGUCUCUGAGAUGAGCUUAGAAUGAAGCAUGAAAGUGUCAUGGAGUUUGAGGUCUCAACCAGCUAAGUGAAGAGAGACUUCAGUGUGUGGAGAGGACUAAAUCAUGAUUGUGCCCAAGGGAAAUUGAAGUAUAUAAAUUGCAUAUCCUGUGAGUAUGAUCGGGGGAACAUUUUAUUUCAGAUAAGGAAUUUCUUUCUUUCUUUUCCACUCUUUUUAUAAUUGUUAUACAUAAAAUAUAAUUUUAUCUAUAUCUUUAAAAUAUAUAUUACUUACUUAAAAUUGCCCCUUAUUAUCUUUCCUGUUGUGUGAUGGUCCUAUUCCCUCCAGGCUCCUGUAGGCACUAUGUACUGUCACUGUGGCUUCCAUGUCUUCCAGUAAAGACUGGCAUCUUUGGACAGCUGGGAUAACGUUGCAGCAAAAAAUUCUUCCUUCAUAUCCAAACACAUGCAUGAGCAUGCUUCAUGUUUGGGCAUGCUGCCACCACCAUGCAUGUACACAGCUCUCAUCUUGGGGAGUGCUACUUGCCUGAGAAAUAUUGGAGUAGCAUGAGAUGGAGUGCAGAGCAGUACAGAUUUAGUGAGGAUGGGAAAGGUGUCCUAGGCUGAGAAUGGCCUCAGCUCAUUAUUCCUUUUUUCAGACAUUACAUUUGUGGAUUAUUAAGGCAUUCUAUUAGAAUGUUAAGGAUUUAAACUUAGCCUUUCUGAUGGCUUUAAAAACUGCACUUCUAGGAAACUUUGUCUCUCUGACUUUUCAGUUUGGAGCUCAAACUCCAAUCUUAAAUGUGUUGUUGUUUGAAUAUUCUAAAAUUUUGAGGUCUUUCUGUACUAUAGCACCUUGUUACCUUGUUGCUGUAGGAACACGUUAUAGAGACAUUUUAUAUAGUAACUAGAAAUAAAUCUUUCCUUUUUUUUUUUUUUUCUUUUUUUAUUAGUUGCAAUACCACCUACAAAUUUAGAUUACCAAAGAGGAAAGACAAAUUUAAAUUAGCAAAGGAGAAAAGAAAUUGCUAGGCCAUCAUAUUAGUGGAAUCUAUAAUUUUUAUUUCUUUUUUUAGCCAGGAGGCUUACAUUUUUUAGGUGUUUGCUAAUGCAAGAUGGUCCAUCAAAGGACCAGCAUCUCAGUAAUAAACUGUUAAACCUAAAUUGAAUGGCAUGUACUUUCUAUUUCAUAUUCAGUUAAGUUUGAGAUCAUCAGAAACU